ACGAUAGAAAAUCAAAGGGGGACCGAGAGAAAAAGCACGAUAAUAUAUAGAGAGGAGAUACAAAAGAUACACACGAAAACACACAUCAUAUGAAUAUAUUGGAAAUAAGCUGAGAGCAUAGCCACAAAAGAUGCACAGGCGAAAUACACAAAAGCAUACACAACGAAAUACACAAAGAACACGAAAAAUACGAAAUAGAGAGAUCCAGAAAUACAGCCAAAGAUACCGAGUAUCACCUAUUUUUGGAGCCACCGUGAACCGCCGCACAGUGACGCCACCCCGAAACCAAAAACCGCAAUCUCAACAUCGUAUCUUCAUCCAGAGGUCGACCGUUGCAGCUCGUCUGAGAGGAAAAUCGUAUCUUAGGCCCAGGACAGAGUCUCCGGCUUCAUUCUCUAAGGGCACGCUCAACCGAAGAAGAGAAUGGGAGAAGAGAAGAGAAAAAGCUGUUAGGGAUUCACAUUCCAAUUUGAUUGCAAGUAGAUGAGGUCUCCCCCUCCCUUUUUUUCAGAUUUGCAACGGGCCUGGGCCCUAAAGCAUGCAGGUCUCUUGUCAAGUUGGUUGCUUUUUAUAGCCAUUUUGGUCUCUUGAAGACUUGCCCUAGUUUGUUGAGUUUAUGGGAAAAGUAUGACCAUCCAAUAAAUUGCCCCAGUAUCUUGUCAAGAAUUUAUUGGAUGGAUAUGAGCGUCCACUAAACUGCCCCAGUAUCUUUCUCAAAGACUUACUGAGAAUCUUUUCAGACAUAGGUUAUUUCCUAGACAUCAAUAAAGUACUCUAGAUGGCAUGGUUGAUGGUAAACCAUAGUGAGGAUGUUUAUUUCAUUUCCCUAAUUUUUGCCCAGAAUACCUAAUGCGAGUAUCUGUCGGGAAUUCUCUCUUUUUGUAAUGAUACUAAAUCGCCUUUUCAGGUUUUCGACUUAGCAUUACUCUCCUUUUCCUAGGUCGCCCUUGCGGGUUUUCAACCUAGCGCUCCUCUUUUUUUUUUUUGUUUGUUUGUUUG
rnacentral:lncRNA from 1 species